rnacentral:lncRNA from 1 species
UCUCUAUCUUCAAUUAACAAAUCUCACGUCAUAGCAGACUGAUCAACUUAAUUACGUUAAUAUCUCUCUCAAAAAUCAAACAAACUACUGGUACUAGUAGUUGAGGAUCUCACCUUAUGUACAGAAAAUUACGAAAAUAAAUUAGCUUUUGCAGGAUGUGCAGGAAAUUUAGGGUUAUCAGUUUGGAUACAUCUACCACUAUUAUUGCUUAUUUGUAAGGCACUGAGGCAUCUCUGAACACUGCCCUUCUUUUUUCUUCUUGC